rnacentral:rRNA from 1 species
UACGGAGGAUGCAAGCGUUAUCCGGAAUGAUUGGGCGUAAAGCGUCCGCAGGUGGCUAUGUAAGUCUGCUGUUAAAGAGUGAGGCUCAACCUCAUAAAAGCAGUGGAAACUACAUAGCUAGAGUACGUUCGGGGCAGAGGGAAUUCCUGGUGUAGCGGUGAAAUGCGUAGAGAUCAGGAAGAACACCGGUGGCGAAGGCGCUCUGCUAGGCCGUAACUGACACUGAGGGACGAAAGCUAGGGGAGCGAAUGGG